rnacentral:rRNA from 1 species
GUCGAGCGGAGAUGAGGUGCUUGCACCUUAUCUUAGCGGCGGACGGGUGAGUAAUGCUUAGGAAUCUGCCUAUUAGUGGGGGACAACAUUCCGAAAGGAAUGCUAAUACCGCAUACGUCCUACGGGAGAAAGCAGGGGAUCUUCGGACCUUGCGCUAAUAGAUGAGCCUAAGUCGGAUUAGCUAGUUGGUGGGGUAAAGGCCUACCAAGGCGACGAUCUGUAGCGGGUCUGAGAGGAUGAUCCGCCACACUGGGACUGAGACACGGCCCAGACUCCUACGGGAGGCAGCAGUGGGGAAUAUUGGACAAUGGGGGGAACCCUGAUCCAGCCAUGCCGCGUGUGUGAAGAAGGCCUUAUGGUUGUAAAGCACUUUAAGCGAGGAGGAGGCUACCGAGACUAAUACUCUUGGAUAGUGGACGUUACUCGCAGAAUAAGCACCGGCUAACUCUGUGCCAGCAGCCGCGGUAAUACAGAGGGUGCGAGCGUUAAUCGGAUUUACUGGGCGUAAAGCGUGCGUAGGCGGCUUUUUAAGUCGGAUGUGAAAUCCCCGAGCUUAACUUGGGAAUUGCAUUCGAUACUGGGGAGCUAGAGUAUGGGAGAGGAUGGUAGAAUUCCAGGUGUAGCGGUGAAAUGCGUAGAGAUCUGGAGGAAUACCGAUGGCGAAGCAGCCAUCUGGCCUAAUACUGACGCUGAGGUACGAAAGCAUGGGGAGCAAACAGGAUUAGAUACCCUGGUAGUCCAUGCCGUAAACGAUGUCUACUAGCCGUUGGGGCCUUUGAGGCUUUAGUGGCGCAGCUAACGCGAUAAGUAGACCGCCUGGGGAGUACGGUCGCAAGAUAAAACUCAAAUGAAUUGACGGGGGCCCGCACAAGCGGUG